rnacentral:rRNA from 1 species
GAUGAACGCUAGCGAUAGGCUUAACACAUGCAAGUCGAGGGGCAGCAUGGUCUUAGCUUGCUAAGACUGAUGGCGACCGGCGCACGGGUGCGUAACGCGUAUGCAACUUGCCUCACAGAGGGGGAUAACCCGUCGAAAGUCGGACUAAUACCGCGUACACUCCAUCUUGGGCAUCCAAGGUAGAGGCAAUGAAAUUCGCUGUGAGCUAGGCAUGCGUGCCAUUAGCUAGUUGGUGAGGUAACGGCUCACCAAGGCGACGAUGGGUAGGGGAAUGGAGAGGUUGCAGCCUGAGAGGGGGACUGGGCCACGUACCAGUGAGCUACGGCAGGCAGCCGUGCGGGAGACAGAUGAAGGGGAGAGUGCCUGAUGCGGCGAAGUCGCGUGAAGGAAGACUGCCUGAUGGAUUGUAACCUUCGGUUAGUCGGGAGUAUCAGCAGGCACCGGUGAGUGCGUGCAGGUACCGUAUGAAGAAGCACCGGCUAACUCCGUG